rnacentral:rRNA from 1 species
AGUGAACGCUGGCGGUAGGCCUAACACAUGCAAGUCGAACGGCAGCACAGUAAGAGCUUGCUCUUACGGGUGUCGCGUGUCGGACGGGUGAGGAAUGCAUCGGAAUCUACUUUUUCGUGGGGGAUAACGCAGGGAAACUUACGCUAAUACCGCAUACGACCUACGGGUGAAAGCAGGGGAUCUUCUGACCUUUCGCGAUUGAAUGAGCCGAUGUCGGAUUAGCUAGUUGGCGGGGUAAAGGCACACCAAGGCGACGAUCCGUAACUGGUAUGAGAGCAUGAAUAGCCACACUGGCAGUGAGACACGGUCGAGACUCCUAGACGAGGACGCAGUGGGGAAUCUUGGACAAGGGGGGAGAGCCUGAUCCAGCCAUACCGGGUGGGUGAAGAAGCCGUUCGGGUUGGAAAGCCAUUUUGUUGGGAGAGAAGAGCAGCACGUUAAUACCCCGCUAUUCUGACGGUACCCAAAGAAUAAGCACCGGCUAACUUCGUG